ACAAAACGCGCCUUGGACGUGGGAGCUGGAGCCGGAGUCUCCACCCAAUUCCUUUGGGAAA
rnacentral:sRNA from 13 species